AACGGUCAUACCAUGCUGAAUAUACCGGUUCUCGUUAGAUCACCGAAGUCAAGCAUCAUUGGGUGCGGUCAGUACCCAGGUGGGUGACCACCUGGGAACACCGUGUGCCGUU
rnacentral:rRNA from 1 species